rnacentral:rRNA from 1 species
CCUACGGGUGGCAGCAGUGGGGAAUAUUGGACAAUGGGGGCAACCCUGAUCCAGCCAUGCCGCGUGUGUGAAGAAGGCCCUCGGGUUGGAAAGCACUUUCAGUGAGGAAGAACGCCUGGUGGUGAAUACCCAUCAGGAAAGACAUCACUCACAGAAGAAGCACCGGCUAACUCCGUGCCAGCAGCCGCGGUAAUACGGAGGGUGCGAGCGUUAAUCGGAAUUACUGGGCGUAAAGCGCGCGUAGGUGGCUUGAUAAGCCGGUUGUGAAAGCCCCGGGCUCAACCUGGGAACGGCAUCCGGAACUGUCAAGCUAGAGUGCAGGAGAGGAAGGUAGAAUUCCCGGUGUAGAGGUGAAAUGCGUAGAGAUCGGGAGGAAUACCAGUGGCGAAGGCGGCCUUCUGGACUGACACUGACACUGAGGUGCGAAAGCGUGGGUAGCAAACAGGAUUAGAUACCCUAGUAGUC